rnacentral:rRNA from 1 species
UACGAAGGGGGCUAGCGUUGCUCGGAAUCACUGGGCGUAAAGGGUGCGUAGGCGGGUCUUUUAGUCAGGGGUGAAAUCCUGGAGCUCAACUCCAGAACUGCCUUUGAUACUGAGGAUCUUGAGUUCGGGAGAGGUGAGUGGAACUGCGAGUGUAGAGGUGAAAUUCGUAGAUAUUCGCAAGAACACCAGUGGCGAAGGCGGCUCACUGGCCCGAUACUGACGCUGAGGCACGAAAGCGUGGGGAGCAAACGGG